GACUGAGCACAAAGCCCUCCUGUUUCCCAGGACACGCACAGCAUCACCGACCUUUAUCUGUCCAGGAAAGCUCAUGUGACUCGGUGUUAAGAUGAGGGUGACUGGUUGUCUGCAUGGGUCGCAGAGCCUGGGCCUAAAGGUGCCAAGGUCACAGGCAGCAUACACUCUUUCAUGUCUCUCUAGUCCCUUUACCCUGAUGGUUCAGCUGUCUCCUUAAGACCAUAGUCUGGCAUCUACCCCCAGAUAACUGAGUCUUUAUGAACACUGCAUGCCCUAUAAGAGAGAGAGUGGCUAGGCCAGAGGAACUCCAUGACCUACAUCACCUGUGCUGGGAAGGUCCAGCAUCAGGCGUUGAGCGUUCGGCCAUCCCCAGAACCUUAGGGUGGGACUGUCUCCCUCACCAGUGGGAUGAAGAGGAGGACCCAUUCAAGAAAUUUUGGAAUUCAUACUAAAUCAUGGUCAAAAAUGAAACUAAGUUGCAACCAGACUGUGCCUAAUGCAGAACGUUUCUGAAGAGCUGUUUCCAGGUCUUUGACUGCGAGGCUCCUUUUGUAGGGUUAGUUUGUCAGGCAUCUAUCAUCAUAGCUGACAACUUGAUCCUCGUCAUCUUUCCCACACAGACCAUUAUUAUGCCUUCAGCAGUGACCAAGAGAAAAAUACUUUUAUACAGGAGGGACAAGUCAGAAAGAUUCAGGAUGUUGCAAUUCAGAAGGCUGAGCUCUGACCCUCAGCCCUUGAACUCACGGUUGAUGAGAAGCCAUGACUAAAAUUCUACAGCAGCACAUCAUAGACAUGAGCAAGACAAAGUUGGCCAACGGUUGCUCCUGAAGCAUCUGGUACAACCCCAGGUCAAGAGGAUGACAAAUAUGAUUACAAGUAUACUAAAGAAGAUGAUUUUUAUGACUUUAUCAUCACCAGAGGUGGACUGGAGUAAACAAGAAAACCAUCCAACAAAACACAAGCAGGCAUCUGCAUAAUUCUGGACAAAUUGAAUAAUCCUUUUUCUUCCUCUGUAACAGUUACCUGUACUUGGUAUUUUAUUAUCCCAACUUGCUGGAGAGUGUCCUGGAUUUCCUGGGUUGCCAGAUCUAAACUCCGUUAAGGUCAUUCAUUUUCCAUAAGCCCUACCUCGGUAGGGAGUCUUAGUUCUAGUUCCCAAUAGGCAUAAUCCUCCUCAUCAGUGUUGUCUUGGGUCUUGUUACCCUCUGGUAGAUGGAUUUUCUCUAUGACUCCUGUGUUAC
ensembl:lncRNA